rnacentral:rRNA from 1 species
UACGAAGGGGGCUAGCGUUGCCCGGAAUCACUGGGCGUAAAGCGCACGUAGGCGGCUUCUUAAGUCAGGGGUGAAAUCCUGGAGCUCAACUCCAGAACUGCCUUUGAUACUGAGGAGCUCGAGUCCGGGAGAGGUGAGUGGAACUCCGAGUGUAGAGGUGAAAUUCGUAGAUAUUCGGAAGAACACCAGUGGCGAAGGCGACACGCUGGGCCAUACCUGACGCUAAAGCGCGACAGCAUGGGGAGCAAACGGG